rnacentral:rRNA from 1 species
AGGAAAGCAGGGGAUCGCAAGACCUCGCGCUAUUGGAGCGGCCGAUGUCCGAUUAGCUAGUUGGUGGGGUAAAGGCCUACCAAGGCGACGAUCGGUAGCUGGUCUGAGAGGAUGAUCAGCCACACUGGGACUGAGACACGGCCCAGACUCCUACGGGAGGCAGCAGUGGGGAAUUUUGGACAAUGGGCGCAAGCCUGAUCCAGCCAUGCCGCGUGAGUGAAGAAGGCCUUCGGGUUGUAAAGCUCUUUCGGCCGGAACGAAAUCGACCAGGCCAAUACCCUGGUUGGAUGACGGUACCGGAAGAAGAAGCACCGGCUAACUACGUGCCAGCAGCCGCGGUAAUACGUAGGGUGCAGGCGUUAAUCGGAAUUACUGGGCGUAAAGCGUGCGCAGGCGGCCUCUUAAGUCAGAUGUGAAAUCCCCGGGCUUUCCUCC